rnacentral:rRNA from 1 species
UACGUAGGGCGCAAGCGUUGUCCGGAAUUAUUGGGCGUAAAGAGCUCGUAGGCGGUCUGUCGCGUCUGCUGUGAAAACUCAGGGCUUAACCCUGAGCUUGCAGUGGGUACGGGCAGACUAGAGUGCGGUAGGGGAGACUGGAAUUCCUGGUGUAGCGGUGAAAUGCGCAGAUAUCAGGAGGAACACCGAUGGCGAAGGCAGGUCUCUGGGCAUUAACUGACGCUGAGGAGCGAAAGCAUGGGGAGCGAACAGG